rnacentral:rRNA from 1 species
CCUACGGGCGGCUGCAGUGAGGAAUAUUGGUCAAUGGGCGCGAGCCUGAACCAGCCAAGUAGCGUGAAGGAUGACUGCCCUACGGGUUGUAAACUUCUUUUAUAAAGGAACAAAGUGAGGCACGUGUGCCUUUUUGUAUGUACUUUAUGAAUAAGGAUCGGCUAACCCCGGGCCAGCAGCCGCGGUAAUACGGAGGAUCCGAGCGUUAUCCGGAUUUAUUGGGUUUAAAGGGAGCGUAGAUGGGUUGUUAAGUCAGUUGUGAAAGUUUGCGGCUCAACCGUAAAAUUGCAAUUGAUACUGGCAGCCUUGAGUACAGUUGAGGUAGGCGGAAUGCGUGGUGUAGCGGUGAAAUGCUUAGAUAUCACGAAGAACCCCGAUUGCGAAGGCAGCUUACUAAACUGUCACUGACACUGAUGCUCGAAAGUGUGGGUAUCAAACAGGAUUAGAUACCCUAGUAGUC